rnacentral:rRNA from 1 species
UACGAAGGGGGCUAGCGUUGCUCGGAAUCACUGGGCGUAAAGCGCACGUAGGCGGAUUGUUAAGUCAGGGGUGAAAUCCUGGAGCUCAACUCCAGAACUGCCUUUGAUACUGGCGAUCUCGAGUCCGGGAGAGGUGAGUGGAACUGCGAGUGUAGAGGUGCAAUUCGUAGAUAUUCGCAAGAACACCAGUGGCGAAGGCGGCUCACUGGCCCGGUACUGACGCUGAGGUGCGAAAGCGUGGGGAGCAAACAGG